rnacentral:rRNA from 1 species
GCAUACAAUAAGCGGAGGAAAAGAAACUAACAAGGAUUCCCCUAGUAACGGCGAGUGAAGCGGGAAGAGCUCAAAUUUGAAAUCUGGUGGCCUCAGGUCAUCCGAGUUGUAAUCUAUAGAAGUGUUUUCCGUGCUGGCUCAUGUACAAGUCCCUUGGAACAGGGCGUCAUAGAGGGUGAGAAUCCCGUCCUUGACAUGAACUACCAGUGCUCUGUGAUACAUUUUCAACGAGUCGAGUUGUUUGGGAAUGCAGCUCAAAAUGGGUGGUAAAUUCCAUCUAAAGCUAAAUAUUGGCGAGAGACCGAUAGCGAACAAGUACCGUGAGGGAAAGAUGAAAAGCACUUUGGAAAGAGAGUUAAACAGUAUGUGAAAUUGUUAAAAGGGAAACGAUUGAAGUCAGUCGUGCUCUUUGGAUUCAGCCGGUUCUGCCGGUGUACUUCCUUUGAGUGGGGUCAACAUCAGUUUUGAUCGCUGGAUAAAGGCUGGAGGAACGUAGCACCCCCGGGUGAACUUAUAGCCUCCUGUCACAUACAGUGGUUGGGACUGAGGAACGCAGCACGCCUUUAUGGCCAGGAUCCGUCCAUGUACGUGCUUAGGAUGUUGACAUAAUGGCUUUAAACGACCCGUCUUGAAACACGGACC